rnacentral:rRNA from 1 species
UACGUAGGGGGCAAGCGUUGUCCGGAUUUACUGGGCGUAAAGAGCGCGCAGGCGGUCUGCCAAGUCGAGUGUGAAAGCCCCCGGCUCAACUGGGGAGGGUCAUUCGAUACUGGUCGACUCGAAGGCAGGAGAGGGAAGCGGAAUUCCCGGUGUAGUGGUGAAAUGCGUAGAUAUCGGGAGGAACACCAGUGGCGAAGGCGGCUUCCUGGCCUGUUCUUGACGCUGAGGCGCGAAAGCUAGGGGAGCAAACGGG